CCAAUGCUGGGUGUACAGGGAGGGGUGCACGUACACAAGAAGCCAUCACCAUGUGGAUGUUAGGAAGAGGGAAUGGUUUAAUAUGAUCCUUUAUCCUGUGCUGGAGCCUUCAUUCUGCAGAGCUGCGCUUGUAAUUCUCCAGGUGGUAUAAGACCCAGCCUGCAGGGAUCAGGAAGCUGAGGAACAUCACAGAGAGCCCGAUGGCCUGCUCCUGGGUCGAGGAGAGCACACAUGAGUCCACUAGGGCCAGUUACAGGGGGCUUGGCAGAAAGGACACCUGCUUGGACCCAGAGAAAGCCGGCCUCAGACCAGCGGCCUGUCCCCUUGCUGUGGUGCGCGAGGGCCUCGAGCCCAUUGCAGUGCGGGGAGGUUUGGCCCACUCCAGAAGAGGCUUUCACUUCCUUGUAAAAGAGGAACUCAACAAAGGAGCAGGACCAGGGACAUCAGCCUCCACUCCUCUGCGUGGGGGGCGACCUUCAGUUGUGCCAUGGAGGAACAGAAGUGGGAGGAAGUUCAGCAGACACUUUCCUGAGUGCCGGCAGUGGGUGGGCCUCAGACCCCUACCUCCAGGCCCGCAGGUAGGUAACGCACCAGGCCUAGUGCUGAGUCUGUGCUGCCCGCCAGCCGCCGGCCACGUGUGAGCGCAGAGCCUCCCUGCCUCUCUGUCC
rnacentral:lncRNA from 1 species